CGCUGCGUUCGUCAUUCUAGAACUUGAGCACGCAGAUAGAGAAAGCCGCCACCACUACAUCUUCUGUGCAGAGCAAGGUUGAAUCAUUGCAGCCCCAUCUGAACCGAUGUCCGGCGUUAAGAGCGCAAGAUACUCCCGGGCAACAGCGCCCAAUGCCAUAGCUGCUGUACCACUUUGAUUAACUCUGAAGCGGGAUGAACACUAUUCUAUUGAUCGCAGUCCCAAUCACCACCCCGUCAUCGAUGAAGACUGCCGCUAAAUUCGUCUCCAUCUUUUGCCAACCCCAAUGUUCUCUUGUGAUGCUUGUGCCGGUUGAUUGCUAGCGUUAGAAGAGGAGCUCUACAAGGAUGAUCAAGAAGUUGGAUAGCAAGAAUUUGGAAGGCAAGUGUAACAAGAGUUCCCUUGUUACCUAAUAACUAUUUAAUCACCUCUUCAUGUGCAUGUGUCUAAUAUGAUAAACCCCUAAGGAUUUUACCUAGAACCUUUGUUAUCCUGAAUCCCUUGUUACCUUGGAUUAUGCAUAUGGGUAGUUUUGCUUAGUCUGCAAUCACAAAACUAUAUAAUAUUAAUCUUGACUAA